GAGCACGUAGGUGGGUUUGUAAGUCAGACGUGAAAGCCUCCUGUUCAACGGGAGAAUUGCAUCUGAAACUGCAGAUCUUGAGUAUAGGAGGGGAGAAUGGAACUUCUGGUGGAGCGGUGAAAUGCGUAGAUAUCAGAAGGAACGCCGGCGGCGAAAGCGAUUCUCUGGCCUAUUACUGACACUCAGUGUGCGAAAGCUAGGGGAGCAAACGGGAUUAGAUACCCCGGUAGUCCUAGCCGUAAACGAUGGGCACUAAGUAGAGGGAAUUACCGAUAUUCUCUCUGCCGUAGCUAACGCAUUAAGUGCCCCGCCUGGGGAGUACGGCCGCAAGGCUAAAACUCAAAAGAAUUGACGGGGGCUCGCACAAGCGGUGGAGCAUGUGGCUUAAUUCGAUGCAACGCGAAAAACCUUACCGGGGCUUGACAUGAUAGAAGUAGGAACCCGAAAGGGUAACGAACGGUAUCCAGUCCGUAGCUAUUACAGGUGUUGCAUGGCUGUCGUCAGCUCGUGUCGUGAGACGUUGGGUUAAGUCCCCUAACGAGCGAAACCCUUGUUUUUAGUUGCCAGCGGGUUAUGCCGGGCACUCUAGAAAGACUGCCGUCGUCAAGACGGAGGAAGGUGGGGAUGACGUCAAGUCAUCAUGGCCCUUAUGCCCCGGGCUGCACACGUGCUACAAUGGUCGGUACAAACGGAAGCGAAGCCGAGAGGUGAAGCGAAUCC
rnacentral:rRNA from 1 species